rnacentral:rRNA from 1 species
GAUGAAAGAUGGUUCUGCUAUCGCUUUUAGAUGGACCCGCGGCGUAUUAACUAGUUGGUGGGGUAACGGCCUACCAAGGUGAUGAUACGUAGCCGAACUGAGAGGUUGAUCGGCCACAUUGGGACUGAGACACGGCCCAAACUCCUACGGGAGGCAGCAGUAGGGAAUCUUCCACAAUGGACGCAAGUCUGAUGGAGCAACGCCGCGUGAGUGAAGAAGGUCUUCGGAUCGUAAAACUCUGUUGUUAGAGAAGAACACGAGUGAGAGUAACUGUUCAUUCGAUGACGGUAUCUAACCAGCAAGUCACGGCUAACUACGUGCCAGCAGCCGCGGUAAUACGUAGGUGGCAAGCGUUGUCCGGAUUUAUUGGGCGUAAAGGGAACGCAGGCGGUCUUUUAAGUCUGAUGUGAAAGCCUUCGGCUUAACCGGAGUAGUGCAUUGGAAACUGGAAGACUUGAGUGCAGAAGAGGAGAGUGGAACUCCAUGUGUAGCGGUGAAAUGCGUAGAUAUAUGGAAGAACACCAGUGGCGAAAGCGGCUCUCUGGUCUGUAACUGACGCUGAGGUUCGAAAGCGUGGGUAGCAAACAGGAUUAGAUACCCUGGUAGUCCACGCCGUAAACGAUGAAUGCUAGGUGUUGGAGGGUUUCCGCCCUUCAGUGCCG